CGUUUCUUUUUAAUUGUUACACUUACACUUUUCACGCAUGCCGAUGCACUACUUUGAGCCUUUAUAUCUCUAAUUUUGUAUUUGUAAAAAAUAUAAAAAUUACAUAUUAAUAAAAUACAUACUAAUCGAAUCUAACAAGAUCCCACAUGACUAUGUUUUUAUUCAUGUAUAAAUCACAAACGAGGGUCAAAGUGCAAUUUGUGAAUAGUGUAAAAUGUCAAAGUGUAACAAUUAAAAAGAAACGGAGGUAGUAUAUAGCAGGGAACUGAACAUUAAUCCACGAAAGGUAUACGUACUGUAGUAGAAAUUUCAUAGUCAUUGCGAUUCCUUCGUUAAAGUUUAGGUCAAAUUGAUUGUGUGGAAGGUUUUGGAAUUAGUUUGGUUAUGUCAUCAUCGUCUAAUUUGAGGAGUAUGGUGAUAGACAUCGGGAGGUGAAUUUAGUUUUUCUUGUAAUUUGUUGUUCGUAUCGAUUAGUGGGAUUCAUUGUGCAUUGUUGAUUAUGGUUUUAUGUCUAAUUUUGGUGUUGAUUUUGGUGUAGAUUUGUUGAAAACUUAAAAGUUACCUUAUAUCAAGUUUUUUUAUUAGUUUCCAAA